rnacentral:antisense_RNA from 1 species
AGAGGAUUCCUACAUGGAGUGGGAGACUGAAAUAAUAACCUCAAAGAUGCCUUCCAAUCAGAAGAUUUGGUGAUUCUUUCUGAGUUAUCAAACUGCCUUCCUUUGACCUUGCUCACAUGCAGAAAUCCAAGUCAGCGCAGCUUAACUUGGACUCACCCCCUAUCAAGUGCUCGACGGCCACGUGUGCAGUGGUUCCUACGUGGAGCAGCAUACAUCCAGAGAUGCAAAUAUUAAUGAGGACAGUGCUAGUAACAGAGUUGCUGAGCGAUCUAUGUCCCCUUGUAAGAACCAGCGCCCCAGGGGAAGAAACAGAACUCCACAAGGUAGCAGUGUGGGUGUAGUACCCGCAUGUGCCCAUGUUAUGGGAAUGUAGAUGGGGAGUGACCACCGCCAACAGAAGUGUGGCCAUCUUGCCCGAGAUGCAUGAGGACCUCCUGUUUUUAGAUGCUGCUGCCCAAGGCCCGUAUUUCAUGCUAUGGCUUUUGUCAUUUGAAUUAUCAGUAGCUGUCUCGGAGCUAAUACACUUCACUGGGCCCUGGAGGAUAUUGUCUUAUACAG